CGAUUCAACGUCGACGUACAUUCAGUUACAGCCUACAGUGUGGUCAGUGUUCUGUUCGCUACGCCAUUUGCACGUGUUGUCAACAGUCUUCGUCGCAGUUUUCAACGUUUCGAAGGUCCAUACAAUUUUCGCAUUCAAAAUGAAGAAGUCCACGAAUAAUGGAGAAUCUUUGUCCAAUCAGCCUCAGAACAAUCAGCCUCGAAACUCACAGUCUCGACAUGACAUCUUUUUCGGCAGGGGCUUUAUUGGUUUUAACCAACACGAUCGUUUGCCGGUUAUAACACGUGUGUGGAGUUUGGCAUCGGAAACAAACAAUCGGAAACCAACAAAAUGGGAUGGCAAUGAGGAAUAAUAUAUUAUGUCAUAUGUGAAGUAGUUAUAUUAUAUACUAUGAACUUGUACAAUAUAUUACUGUCACACAUUA